UCACCCCCCCUCCCAAAGCCCACGUCCCCGAGCAGCCCCCGAACGGCUCGCAGGGGCCGCAGCCCGCCCCUCCCCGCAGGCAGUGGCCUCCUCACGCGGCGGGGCCGCUCCUCCCCGCGGGGCCGCCGAGUCAGCUGACGGCGGCGGCGGUUUCCAUCAUGGCCGCCCGGCCGGGGCGGCCGCCGGCGGGGCCGGGGCGGCGGAGAGGCGCGGCGGAGGCCCAGAUCCUGCUUCUCCUCUGGUUCGCGGGCGCAGCCGUGGAGGGAGCGGCGGGCAUGGAGCCGCCGCUCAAGUGCGACGAGCUGAGGCUGGGGCAAUAUAUGUGCGAUGAGCCUAAAAUAGACAAUAGUACACAAGAGCCAAUGAAUUGUACAAAUCACACAGCAUAUGUUCAAUGUCUGCCAGCGCCAAAUAUUACUUGCAAAGAUCACCUUGGCAUAGAAAAAGUCUUUACAGGACAUGAAGUGGGAUUUUACAAGCCUAUUGAGUGUCGCAAUGUAAAUGGAUACUCCUACAAAGUCGCAGUGGCUCUGUCCUUAUUUCUUGGAUGGUUGGGAGCAGAUAGAUUUUAUCUAGGCUAUCCUGCAUUAGGUUUGUUAAAGUUCUGCACUGUAGGAUUUUGUGGAAUUGGUAGCCUAAUUGAUUUCAUACUUAUUUCAAUGCAGAUCGUUGGACCUUCCGAUGGCUCUAGUUAUAUUAUAGAUUACUAUGGAGCAAGGCUUACGCGGCUCACUAUUACCAAUGCAACAUUCAGGAAAAUGCAGACCUAUCCUUAACCCUGGCAGUAAGUGUCACAAAUGCAUAGGUGCAUUUUAUUUUUGCAGAUGGAGCCAGUCGUCCACUGAAAUUGCUGAUGACUUAAUUACGCUUCAUCAGAACUGAAUAUUAAAUGUACAUUAAACAAAGAUGAUAAAAUAUGAAAAUUCCUCAAGUUCACUUAAGUUUACCUCAGAGGCGCUGACUUUCUGUGUGAGUGCUCUAUUUCUGUGAGCACAUAGUUUGUUACUAAGUUGUACCAUUUGUGAAAUGUGCAGACUUCUACAGUUUGCACUGAUGUUCCGUAAGUAUAAUUUAGAGUAUUAUAGAGAGGUGGAGAAAGAGUUGUUCAGAACAGCAAUGCUGAUCUUCAGUCCGUCAAACUGUCUGUUGAGGGUUUUAGCAUGGAUGGGCCAGGAUUACACUUUUUUUUCUGAAAAGAAAUUGAUGCACGUGUUUUAAGCUACAGAAUGUCCAAGAAUUGAAUUCUUUGUACUCAUAAAGCCUUUAAAAGGUUCUUAUUUUAGAUCAGUUGUGUUUCAGUGAAGUAAAUUCUGUGUUCUGAAAGUUCUUUGACCAAAGUCUUUAGGACAAGCAAGAUUUACCUAGAUGUUCCUUUAAAGAAAAGUAUAUAUGCACAGAGACAGAAAACAUGUUAACAGAAUCUUCACGUUACUUGACCAAUUUUAAGCAUUCCCUUCACCUUCUAAUGAAAACUGGCAGUAACUGAGUGAGAAAUCCAUGCAAUCUGAACUUUAGUGUAGAUUUUUUUCAGAAAUGUGGGCUAUUCUUUUGGGUUUGAGAUGAAACUUUCAAAAUGUUAUAAAUGUGUCCACAAGUGGUAUUUUUAAGGAAAUUACAAAAAAUGAGAUUCCUGAAUAGAUUUUUAAAAGUGCAAUUUGUGAGUUUUAAUCUCUUUCAAAUCUACAUUAGGACUGGUGCACAGAAAGCUUUGUAAAGAAAUCCUUUUUUUCCAUAUCGGUGUAACCUGACAUAUCACAUAAUGAGAAUAAGCACAAAGUAUUACUUGUGGUUUAACAUUAAUUCUUUCCUUCAUGCAAGAAAGACAUAGUUUUGGAAUACUUGCUAACAUGUAUUUACUUGUGGGUUCAAAGAGACAAGAACACCAUUAGCUUCAUUCACUUGCCUGAUACUUGUUACAUCUCCCUUUUGUCUCUUUCACUGAAUGCUCUUUGUGCAUGUCAGUUUUGUUUCCUGAAAUACUUUGAAAAACAGACAGGAAGUGGAUGGAAAAUAAAUGUUUGGAUCAAAUAAAAUCUCAUGAGUCUUCCUCAAAGUUCCUUGGAUUUACCAUGGGGAAAACAUGGCAAGAACAUGUAGGAGGAGAUUACUGCCUGUAAAGAACUGACUGAAUGUUCACCUUGAGCCUGACGAGACUGCCCACCAUAUGGAUUGUGUUGGCAGAGGCAGAAGCCUGGGGAAUGCAGAGGUGGGGGGUAGUUUUUAGGGCUUUCAUUCCAUGGUCCCAUUGAUUAUAACGUUAUUAAGAGGAAGAUGCAUGCGACUUUUAAGUUAUUUUGUUAACUAAGUGUAAGCAAUGGAUGUGUCAUGCUAACAAACAUAAUUGCUGGUGUGUCUAAUACAGUAUGUAAGUGCAGUAUAGUGAAUUUAAAAGGUUGUGGUAAUCUAAGAAUGUUAAAAGGGAAAUGUGUGCCUGGGGGGGUGUGGGGGCUGGGGAGAAAAACGACUUACUUGACAUUCACUGUCUUCCUCUCAGCUCCUUUGCUAAAGUAGGAACAGAAUCGGAACAAAAAAAUGUUUGUUUUACAGCUGUACCAAGUUACGGCGUGGACUCGUGCUCCCCCCCUCCUCUCCCACUUGCAUCAAGUACAUCCUGUACUUUUGGCAACAUGUUGACUGGAUAUUUAAAAGCUGUGAACUGCUCUGAAAGUUUCACAUACUGGGUUAUGGGCCAUGUGUGUUUGAUCAAAAUUCAAUUACUGCACUGUACCAUGCUUGGAAACCUAUCAUCCCAAGUUAUGAAGUAUGACGAAAUAGGCUAAUCUAAUUGGUUCAGUAUGGGAGCAGUAUCAACCAAGCUUGUUAUGAUAAAUAGCUUCCUGUGUUAAAGGUUCUCUAGAGCUUAAGUAUCUUGGCUCACCUCCCUCUACAAAAUAAGAAUAGUGUUCCCUGGGAACAGUUACAUCACUGUCCCUCUCCUACAUUCACAAUUAAAGGUUUGUGGAUUUUUUUUUCAUCUUGCUGUUCCUUGAAUAGAUAAACCAUGGCCAUCUACCCCAUUCCCCACUUCCAUCUCCUUCCCUUCUCCUCAGGUUAGGUUGUGCCAGCCUUACCGUGAGUCCGCCUGUUCCGUUUCGGGGCUAGGUAAGGCGAGCUUGACCAGGAUGCCAAAACCCACCCUGGGCCGGAGGCUGGGGUUGGUGUGCUGCCACGUCAGUACGUGUGACAUGUCUGUUUAUAAAAAGAAUUGAAAUAUUUGGUGUUUAGUUAAACUUCAAAGCACUUGUCUAUGCAUCUAAUAAAAGAAGUAUUGUAUAGUGAA